rnacentral:lncRNA from 12 species
GUGGGGGGCGCGGGGGGUGGCGCGGUCUGUCCACCCGCCCUCGCCCUCGUCCUCCUCAGUCGGCUCCGCUCGCAGUCAGGUUCUCCAAAUACUCCUCUGGGUCUGGGAGCCCCCACCUCUGCAGCGGCGGAGGAAAGGAGCCGCUUUUAGAGGCUUCUGGGGAUGGGGAAGGAGAAUGGCCAUCAGCCCCAAGAGGACCCCAAAGACUGGUCUGGCCUUGGCUUUGGGGCCCCGCCUUGGGGCCGCGGCCCUUCCCCGCGGCGGGAUUGUGCGCGCACAGCCUCGCUCGGAGGCCUCCCGGCGAAUCCGAUGACUAAUCAUCAGCGAGUGGAUCAAAGCCUGGACAGAACACGUGAACACCUCUCUCUGUCUCCUGCGUUGCAAAUGUCCACACUGUCUUCUGGAACUUUUCCUUUGGCUUGGACCAAAGUUCGGGUCAUUGCAUGGAGCGUGGCAGCGGCGAUGGUGCUGGGCUCUGGCUGUGCGCAGGUCAUCUCGCCACACCCUCCCUCGCCACUGCAGAGAAGCCUUCUGGAAUAGUUUUCCUGGACACAGAUGAGUGAAUACAAUUGACCCCACCAGAUCUUCCUGCAGGCUGGAGCGCCCUGGGGCAGGCACCUUGUGCUGCUCCGGGUCCUGGAACCUAGUCAGUGCCUGGCCCCCGGCAAUAAAGAUGGCUUUUUGAAUGACCGAGAGUGUGUG